CAGGCAGAUGAUACUGCAGAGCUUCAAAAUCAGAAGUAAAAUCAGCUGGACUCCUGCCUUCCUAAAUAGGGAGAAAAUGGAUUUACUGGUGUGGAUGGCUGCCUCAUUUGCUUCACCAAAAUGAGAUAGGGCAUGCGGGAGAGAAAGGAGAUCUUUGCAAGUAGAACCUACCAUGAUUUCUCAGGGGACAAAAUUUUGCUUAUUCAUACCUUCUACUGUGGCAAAAAUGGAUUAUUUUCCUCACCAAAAACCAGCAGCAUAACAUCCAUCUGACACAUGCCUCAAGGAACUCUUAUUUAAGUCUGUUCACAAUGGAUGCCUUCUAGCCAACCAGCGAGGCCUACUGCUGCUGCAUGUCUGGCAGCAUCUCUGGAUGAUCACAUGACUCUUGAUAUGGAUGCAGUCCUGUCAGACUUCGUUCGGUCCACAGGGGCAGAACCAGGUCUGGCAAGAGACUUACUGGAAGGUAA